GAGGAGACUGCUGGCAACACCACAACCUUGAUGAUACUGAAAACAGUACCGAAAACAGCUGACGAUACUAGAUGUCACAGAUGAACCAGCUAAGGUUGGUGGAGGGUAAACAACAAAGCCCGUGUCCCACUGCUGCUGCCUAACAAAUAGUGCUUGACUCCUGCUUGUUGGACAUGCUGUCAAGUGUUGCAUGGACAGGGUUUUGGAGGGAAAAGAAGCUGGAAGAAGGGAAACCAAGACGCUAAGAAAAUAUCAAGACCUCUAAUGUCCAUGCUCCAUUAGCCUGAAGAAGACGUUCUAGCUUGGAAAUGAUCCUUGUUGGAGAGGAAGAAAGCCAAGUCAGCAAGAACUGGAAGACCUGGCCUCCAGAUUCAACUCCUCCUGCUCUCCUUCCUUUGAAUUGGAUAUGGCUAUUGAAUACCUUGAGAAGAUUAACAUUUUCUCUUUUCAAACUACCCUUCACUCAUCCUCAAAAAUGAGCUCAUACAGGAAGCCUGUUUUCAGCCUCACAAUUGACAGGGCUUUCUGAAAAGCAAGAAAGUGGAACAGGAGUUCCAUGAGCACAUGCCAAGGCUGCUCCAGUUGGUGGCGGAUCUAGUUGGUGGAAUCCAGUUGGUGGCAAAUUUUCUUUCUACUUGAAUGUCAUGACUGUAACAUUCAAAAAUAUUAUUUCUCAUUCUUUAAACUGCAAAGUGAUGGAAGAAAGACUGAGUUCAAACAAGCUCCCAAGACGCAUCUGUGCUGAUUUGCUUCGUGCCUGUCCAGGAUGUCCUCCCAGGAUGCACUGGAGCUGGUACUUCUCGUGCACAGGCACCUGCGCAUCUUUGUUUAGUCAACUUCGGGAAAGGUGUUAUGAGGGAGGCAUUGGAGGAGGGGUAUCGCAUGAAGUUACUCAAGAUAGAAGAGAUCCAAGCCAGAGGAUAAGUAUAAAACCAUGUCUGUGGAGAGUUUGAGAAGUGAGACCACAGAAGUUAAGCUUGUCAUCAUGCCAGGGUGCUGGAGGUGAUGGAAAGUCUAAAAAGUCAAGAGUGAGCUAAUGGUGGGGUAUUAUCAAUGAGAGAUGAUGUAAUGAGAUAAGAGUGUCCUGAAUCGGGAUCCCUGGCACAUGGCCCUAUUGGAUAAUAGGGCCUAUUGCUGACCUUUGGCUAAGACUUAUUUAAUGUUCACUAUAGAAUAUUGAAGUCUCAGAUAUUGUAACCUGAUUAUUUUUCUCUCUCUCUGAGGCUGUCUUCAACCCAAAAAUGUCAUGGAUCUAUGCUUGCCUCAGUUCAGUGUGCUUUUCAAUGUACUCACACUUAAAUUCCUUCAGCUCACUCCAUAGGUGAGGGGAUGGCGGCAGAAGGAGGUGAAGUGACUUGCUCAAGUUCAGAGUCUGGAAGUGGUCAAUCUGGAAUUCAGCUUACAAAGAACUUUACAGGAAAAAAGGCAAUUAUGUAGAAAAGCUACUGCUUUGAACAAAGAAGUGUCUUCCAGAACUGACAGGUGGAGUCUAGCUCCAAGCCAGCUGUGGAAGCCCAUUUGCCCUCUUCUCUAACCUGUGAGUAGAGAACCUUAAGGUAAGCUGGGUCUAUCCUCAAGACGGUGAAUUACCAGGCAAAUUUCCAGGGACAUCA